ensembl:snRNA U6 U6 spliceosomal RNA
UAAUCCAUCACAUAAACAGAACCAAAGACAAAAACCACAGAGAAGAUUAGCAUGGCCUCUGUGCAAGGAUGACACGCAAAUUCGUGAAGCGUUCCAUAUUUCU